rnacentral:rRNA from 1 species
GGUCAAGCUACGAAGGGCGCAUGGUGGAUGCCUUGGCGCCAGGAGCCGAUGAAGGGCGUGGCAAGCGACGAUAUGCCUCGGGUAGCCGCAAGCAGGCGUUGAUCCGGGGAUGCCCGAAUGGGGGAACCCGCCGGGGGUAAUGCCCUGGCAUCCUUGGCUGAAUAGAUAGGCUAAGGAGGGGAACCGCGGGAACUGAAACAUCUUAGUACCGCGAGGAAGAGAAAGAAGUAUCGAUUCCCUAAGUAGCGGCGAGCGAAAGGGGAGGAGCCCAAACCCGCAGCAUGUAAGUCUGCAGGCGUUGUGUUGCGGGGGUUGUAGGGGUUGCCGUUGGAUAUCUGCAGGUAUCCGGAUGGCAGGCAGUACUCUAGCCGAAGAGGUCUGGAACGGCCCACCGUAGGUGGU